GGGGGCGACUUGGCUUCGACGUGGGUAGCAAAGCAGAGUAGGGCAUACCGAGGACCCGCAACCUCGUAAAUCAGCUGGAAAAAAAUAGUCGCAAACGACGAAAAGUACGCUUUAGCCGCUUAAUCGGUUAAACCUCACACCCCACUGUCCGUGGAGGGGCUCAAAGCCGCAAGGCUGCGAUGAGUGAGGUCAUAUACACGGAAUCGUGUCAUGCAGGGUUACUUUGCCUGGCAUUAAAUUUAGGUGACUUGUCCGUUAGCAGCCUGUCGGUUGGUGUCUAUCGGAUGAAAACUAAAUAACCUGACUAAGUAUGUAGAACUGCCUGUAGAGUGCUUGCGGACGCGGGUUCAAUUCCCGCCGCCUCCACCA
rnacentral:tmRNA from 1 species